CGUGUAGGCGGCCGGGUAAGUUGGACGUGAAAGCUCCUGGCUCAGCUAGGAGAGGUCGUUCAAAACUGCCUGGCUAGAGGGCGACAGAGGGAGGUGGAAUUCCCGGUGUAGUGGUGAAAUGCGUAGAUAUCGGGAGGAACACCAGUGGCGAAGGCGGCCUCCUGGGUCGCCCCUGACGCUCAGACGCGAAAGCUAGGGGAGCGAACG
rnacentral:rRNA from 1 species